rnacentral:ncRNA from 14 species
CCAACCAUAGCUCAGUUGGUAGAGCGGAGGACUGUAGUUAUCCUUAGGUCACUGGUUCGAAUCCGGUUGGUUGGA